GCGUCUACCAUGCAGUCGACGCUGAAGCUCCCUGCUUGCAGGGGGUGGAUGAGUGGCGAACGGGUGAGUAACACGUGAGUAACCUGCCCCUGACUCUGGGAUAAGCGCUGGAAACGGUGUCUAAUACUGGAUAUGUCCCAUCACCGCAUGGUGUGUGGGUGGAAAGAUUUAUCGGUUGGGGAUGGACUCGCGGCCUAUCAGCUGGAUGGUGGGGUAAUGGCUCACCAUGGCGACGACGGGUAGCCGGCCUGAGAGGGUGACCGGCCACACUGGGACUGAGACACGGCCCAGACUCCUACGGGAGGCAGCAGUGGGGAAUAUUGCACAAUGGGCGCAAGCCUGAUGCAGCAACGCCGCGUGAGGGAUGACGGCCUUCGGGUUGUAAACCUCUUUUGUCAAGGAAGAAGCCUUCGGGUGACGGUACUUGGAGAAAAAGCACCGGCUAACUACGUGCCAGCAGCCGCGGUAAUACGUAGGGUGCAAGCGUUGUCCGGAAUUAUUGGGCGUAAAGAGCUCGUAGGCGGCUUGUCGCGUCUGCCGUGAAAGCCCGAGGCUCAACUUCGGGUCUGCGGUGGGUACGGGCAGGCUAGAGUGCGGUAGGGGAGAUUGGAAUUCCUGGUGUAGCGGUGGAAUGCGCAGAUAUCAGGAGGAACACC
rnacentral:rRNA from 1 species